UACAGAGACUGCAAGCGUUAUUCGGAUUCACUGGGCGUAAAGGGUGCGCAGGCGGCCAAGUGUGUGAGGCGUGAAAGCCCGGGGCUUAACCCCGGAAUUGCACCUCAAACUACAUGGCUAGAGCAUUGGAGAGGGUAGCAGAAUUCAUGGUGUAGCAGUGAAAUGCGUAGAUAUCAUGAGGAAUACCAGAGGCGAAGGCGGCUACCUGGACAAUUGCUGACGCUCAGGCACGAAAGCGUGGGGGGCAAACAGG
rnacentral:rRNA from 1 species